rnacentral:rRNA from 1 species
GAUGAACGCUGGCGGCGCGCCUAAUACAUGCAAGUAGAACGCUGAAGCUUGGUGCUUGCACCGAGCGGAUGAGUUGCGAACGGGUGAGUAACGCGUAGGUAACCUGCCUCUUAGCGGGGGAUAACUAUUGGAAACGAUAGCUAAUACCGCAUAAAAGUCGAUAUCGCAUGAUAUUGAUUUGAAAGGUGCAAAUGCAUCACUAAGAGAUGGACCUGCGUUGUAUUAGCUAGUUGGUGAGGUAACGGCUCACCAAGGCGACGAUACAUAGCCGACCUGAGAGGGUGAUCGGCCACACUGGGACUGAGACACGGCCCAGACUCCUACGGGAGGCAGCAGUAGGGAAUCUUCGGCAAUGGGGGCAACCCUGACCGAGCAACGCCGCGUGAGUGAAGAAGGUUUGCGGAUCGUAAAGCUCUGUUGUAAGAGAAGAACGAGUGUGAGAGUGGAAAGUUCACUGUGACGGUAACUUACCAGAAAGGGACGGCUAACUACGUG